UACAUCAUCCCAGCCAAAGCUUUGUCCUUCCAGGUCUUAAAAACCUCCAAGGAUGGAGCUUCCACAGCCUCUUUGGGUGACCCGUUCCAGUGUUUUACUAUCCUCUUGGCACCUGCAGAUAACUUGGCAAUUGCUGCUACUCAUGGAAACCCAUUUGGCUGCUGACCGUGUCCUAGGGCUAAAGAAAAGAAGGCAUUCAGGAUAAACUCAACUUUACUUGCUCCUUCAGACGUGUUCACAUGGGUGCAUUGGUGUUCUUCAGCUCCUAUGCACGGGGAGUGUUUGUUGGCUCCAUGAUGGAAAACUUUUUGCUCUUUUUCCACGGAUCUUUUGGAGUUGCAUGAAGAAGCUGAGACUGGAACCGCAGUCACCUGUGGAAACUGGAACCAGAAGCUACCUGGCUUUUACCAGCCCUGAAAUGUUACUCUAGGGAAGAGGAGCAGAAUUGAACCACAAAGGUUUUACCUCCAAUGUUAAGUGCAUAUUGAAGAUUUAAGUAGCAAUUAAGGUUGCUGUAGAAGAUGGCAAAACAGCAUGUUUAUUUUCCACAGAUAAGAAAAAAAGAAAAAAGGAGAAAACCCCCCCCCCAGCAAUUAGGAGAACAGACUGGGGGGAAAAAAUAUUAAAUGGAUGUUUCUG